AUGCAAGACUACUUCGCGGACAAUCCAACAUAUCUGUCGCACCUCUUCCGGAGAAGGUACCGAAUGCGCCGAUCCCUCUUGGUAAAAAUAGUUCAAGCUUGCAAAGCCAAUUGUCGGUAUUUUACACAAAGAAGAAAUGCAACGGGAUUGAAGGGAUUUAGUGCAUAUCAAAAAAUCUCGGCAGCUAUGCGGGUAAUUGCAUACGGCAUUCCGGCUGACUAUGCCGAUGAGUACCUUCGCAUUGGUGAAGAUACUACAAUUGAGUCAGUGAGUAGGCUUGCCAAAGUGAUCAUCCGUGUCUUUGGUUCUGAAUAUCUUCGGUCACCCAACAAGGAAGACAAAAAAAUUGAUGGCAUCUAA
rnacentral:rRNA from 1 species